rnacentral:misc_RNA from 1 species
UUUUUAAGAAGAAAAGACAAACAUUUCUAUUUCGUGGCGUUUCCCUUGUUAAUGUUGUUGUAGGUUAGGUUGCAUGACGGUAUUUUUUGUCUUAUAGGUUUUUAUGUGUAGAAACUUCACAAAGCCACUGUUCACUAUAAGCAUUACCCUUUAGACAUGUUCACAAUUGUCGCAGGAAGCUACUAUUUGGCAUGGUUGUAAACUUGUUUGGGGGUCAGGGGCAGUACCAAGUUAAAGUGGGGACAAGUUCUCCCAUUCAAACUUGGAAAUUUUGUAGUCAUGUAAAUAGUAUAUUUACAUUUUUAUUUAUGCCGCCG